GACGAACGCUGGCGGCGUGCCUAAUACAUGCAAGUAGGACGCAGUUGCGAACGGGUGAGUAACGCGUAGGUAACGAACCAUUCGCGGAGGAUAACUAUUGGAAUCGAUAGCUAAUACCGAAUACUCGUAGAUGGACGUGCGUUGUAUUAGCUAGUAGGUAGGGUAAUGGCCUAACUAGGCAACGAUACAUAGCCGACUUUAGAGGAUGGUCGGCCACCCUGUGAAUGAGACCCGGCCCAGACUCCUACGGGAGUCAGCAGUUAGGAAUCUUCGCAAAUGGGAGGAACCCUGACCGAGCAACGCCGCGGGAGUGAAGAAGGUGUUCGGAUCGUAAAGCUCUGUUGUUAAGGAAGCGGUACUCAACCAGAAAGGGACGGCUAACUACGUGCCAGCAGCCGCGGUAAUAC
rnacentral:rRNA from 1 species